rnacentral:rRNA from 1 species
UACUAGAGUAGCACUCGCAUAUCAAUAAGCGGAGGAAAAGAAACUAACAAGGAUUCCCCUAGUAACGGCGAGUGAAGCGGGAAGAGCUCAAAUUUGAAAUCUUAAAGGGUUUCCCUUUACGAAUUGUAGUUUAAAGAAGUGUUUUCUGUUGAGGUUUUGGUAAAAGUUCUUUGGAAUAGGACAUCAUAGAGGGUGAGAAUCCCGUAUUUGACCUUUACUUUCAACUUUGUGAUACACUUUCAAAGAGUCGGAUUGUUUGGGAAUGCAGUCCGAAAUGGGUGGUAAAUUUCAUCUAAAGCUAAAUAUUGGCGAGAGACCGAUAGCGAACAAGUACCGUGAGGGAAAGAUGAAAAGAACUUUGAAAAGAGAGUUAAACAGUACGUGAAAUUGUCAAAAGGGAAGCGUUUGACACCAGUGUUGUUUUUCUGAAAAUCAAUUAAAGAACUGUUUAUGCUAAGCUGUUUAGACUUUAUCAGCUAUCUGUUUAGUUUUGAGCUUUUCUUUAAUGCACUUUUCAGUUAACAAGUCAACAUCAAUUUCUUUUGCUGUAAAAAAGCUUGAGGAAGGUGGCUUGAGAUUCGUCUUAAGUGUUUAUAGCCUCUUGCCUAUGCAGUCGGAGAGAUUGAGGUCUGCAGCGUAGAUCCUUCGGGGCUAAAUGCAUUUGUGCUAAGUUAUAGCAUUUUAUAGACAACUUGUUGACUAUGAUUUGUCUUGUAGCUUACUCGCUUAUGUUAUUUUACCUACGCUUAGGAUGUUGAGCGCAUGUCUCUCUCU